UUUUCCCAUGGUUUGAGGUGAAAAAGAUGGAAUUAAGCCCACUUCUUUCUUUUGUUUUGUUGCUAGCUGAAGUAGAAGGCUUUGGAGCUGCUAAGGGUUGUGAGAGAGAGGAAUUUGGGAGAAUUUUGCAACUUCAACUCAGUAGAUAACUGAGUUACAACUUGGUAAAGUGAUUUGUACCAUUUCUUUCCAUAGCUUGGUGUUAGUGAUGGGUUUAAGCUUGUUUCUUGUACUUUGCUGCUAGCUGAAUUGAGGGAGAGUUUUUGGCAGCUAUAAAGAGGAGCUUUGCUAUACUUUAACUCAGCUAGAGCUGAGUUAGUGAUUAGAUGAGCAGAACCGCAACAAGAGAGGUGAACCUUGCGACUUGGGUUCGAUGGUUUUUGGAACAGAGUUUGGAGAUGAUUCUUCAACCCAAAGCUAACAACAAGCUGAACUGAAUUAGAGAAGCGGAUUUAGUGAUCACCUUGAGCUGAAUAUUGAGACUCUUUUGAGCUAAAUCAAGCCGAGUUGAGGUGCUUCAACCUGGAUUGAAGUAGAGGUUUAGCUUUAGACUAAACCUAGGGGACUUUGAGACUUCAUAUUUCCUGCGAUUGUGAGUUCGACAAGAGUUGUCGAUUGGAAGAGCCUUCCACAGCGGGAAAGGCUAGGGAUCCUGGCGAGGGGUCGGCGGCUAGCUAGAGCUUUUUCGACGUUAAAUAGACAAACCCUUACAAGUUUAUGCAGUUUUGAUCAGUAUUGUAUGUUGAAAUCAUGUAAAUUGUACUCUAUCCUUAUCUGUUGUAUUAGAGUUUUGGAUUGUAUAAGUUUAGACUUUUAGUCGUGCUCUGAUUACUAAGUAAGUUAAGAUCUCUUUGCUAUAUUGUUCAUUUUCUUUAUAAACGCCUGGUGUACAGUGUGGUUUUUGGGGUACACGGCGGGUCUGUGCACGUUACUGUGAGCUUCCGCUGAAGUCCAGGGCAUGACAGAAACUUGCUUUGUUGAAUUCUAGACUUCAAGAGGAAUCCGUGGAGCCCAAUUUGACAGAAUUUGAUUGAGGAAGCUGGAAUUGCUACCUGAGCCUUGUGUGCUAUCACUCUCCCCUGGAUUUGGAACCUUACUUCACCAGAUUUGAGUAUUAGAAAGUGAAGUUGACAUUGAUAUUGAGGAAAGUUAAGCUUAAGUGCUGAAUUUUUGGGUUACAAUGUGAUUUGUUGGGUUUUGAUGUUCAGAUCUUUAAGGAGGUUUACUACUGGUCCUAUGGUGAUUAUAGCAAAGAUUACCAGUGUUUUCGUGACCUUCUUGCUGCCGUGGAGUUGCGCGAGAGAAACGUCGUCUUCGGCUGCUGCUGUUGCUGAUUCUAAGCGUGGCAAGGGCGUCGCGAGUUAGAGCCUUUCAGACAAGUCGCAGAGCUAAAGGAGUACCAAUUACAGGUAGUUGUAGUUUUUGGUCCUUUACAUACAGAUGUUGUAGCUCGCCUGAGCGAGUAUUUUUGUACCCUGAUGCUAUGUAUGUAUUGAACCACUG